AGAAGAAGCGACUCUAGGCGCAGAGGUUGCGGUAAACGUUUCAACUUGAAAGUGUCAUGGGGUAUUGAAGUGUCGUUGAUAAAUACUACCCACUAUAAUACAACUUCACAAUGACCAGCGAGAAAGCGGAGAGUCAGCGCGAGGUGUUCAGACGGCGAGCCUCCGUCGCUAGGGCCGGCUGCAAAUUCGUGGAAGGCAUCCCCGGGUAUUUCGAGGUCAAAAACAACCGACUCCUGAACAACCUGAGAUGGGUCAAGAAACACAACCUCAUAUGGUGCCCUAUAUUCAAGGCGGCGUCUACCACUUGGGUGAAGAACUUGCUACUGCUGGCAGGCGAAAAAGUGCUCAACAAGAGCUUCCACGGGCGGGUGCGAGAGCUGUACCCGCGGCCGGACAAUAAGGAGGAGGAAAAACAAGUUCUAGACUCAUCCAUGAAAAUGAUCAUUGUCAGGCAUCCGCUGGACCGAUUGCUGUCAGCAUACCGGGACAAAAUGCUUCGAGUGAAACAAGCCUGUGACCCAUACAUCAAGUUGCAAAAGGACAUCAUAGAGAAAUACGAAGACCCCAACGGAGACCCAUUGCCGAAAUCCACAGUCCUCAUGCACGUAGGCUUAGAUGGUACCAGUGCCUGAACGAGGCCCUGGGACUAAACCUGACGGUGCCUUACGGUGUCGGGAACCCCUUGCUUGAAGUCCAGCCCACCAACAUGACGUUUACCCACCCGACUUUCUCGCAGUUUCUCCUGAAAGUCAGGGAUGACAUUGCGCGGUUUUGGGAUACAAAGGGCAAUUCCGGGCUGAACUUUCACUGGCGGCCAUAUUGGAUCACGUGUGGCCCCUGUAAGCUGAACUAUGACGUCAUCGCUCAUGUUGAGACCCUUGGCCCUGAUCAAGAGUUCGUCAUCCGGGAACUUGGUCUUCAAAAUAUUUUAUAUAACACCCGCGCACAUGCUUCCAAUUUCGACAGCUACAACGAUACCAGCAACGCCUUGGCCCACUAUUACCGGCAAG